AUGCACUGCCCAAAAUCAGAAUUUUCUGGUGGUGGGUACUCAGGGGGUCUCCUUCCUUCUCUGGAAACCCUCACACAUCGCCAUAUCGCGGACAAUGCAACAUGCAAACUCUGUGGUUUUGUCGAACAAAGUCUCUACAAUGUGUUGAUCACAUGUGAUCAUUACAAGCAAUUUUGGGUAGCACUGUUCGAGCGAACAUGACUGAAACCCCCGCACCUAUAUCCUCUGACAUGGGCAGGUGAUGUCAUUUUACCAGACACUAUCAAGAUGGAGGACGCAGUGAUCUUUGUCACAAUCAUGUGGUGCAUCUGGUCUAGCACGAAUAUAUUUACUCAUGGAGAGGAAAAGAUCCAGUCGCUGAGAUCGAUGGAACUAGUUGAUGAACUGGUAGGGGUGCUUGAGCUACCCCUAAGUCAAGUUGCUCCUAAGGAGAACAAUGGCCCGUAG
rnacentral:rRNA from 1 species